CGCAUCUGUGCAUGCAGCAUAUCAAUAAGCGGAGGAAAAGCCAACUACCUACGCUUAGGAUGUUGACGCGCGUGUGUGCGUGAUCUAUACAUGACUCUGCGCAUAUCAAUAAGCGGAGGAAAAGAAACUAACAAGGAUUCCCUUAGUAACGGCGAGUGAAGCGGGAAGAGCUCAAAUUUGAAAUCUUCAAGGUUUUACCUUGACGAAUUGUAGUUUAAAGAAGUGUUUUCUGUUGAAGUUUGGGUAAAAGUUCUUUGGAAUAGGACAUCAUAGAGGGUGAGAAUCCCGUAUUUGACCAUUAUUUUCAGCUGUGUGAUACACUUUCAAAGAGUCGGAUUGUUUGGGAAUGCAGUCCAAAAUGGGUGGUAAAUUUCAUCUAAAGCUAAAUAUUGGCGAGAGACCGAUAGCGAACAAGUACCGUGAGGGAAAGAUGAAAAGAACUUUGAAAAGAGAGUUAAACAGUACGUGAAAUUGUCAAAAGGGAAGCGUUUGACACCAGUGUUGUUUUCUCGAAAAUCAAUUAAAAAGAGUUAGGAUUUUGUUGUGUAUUGACCUUAACAGCUUGCAUUUCAAUUUUCUUGCUUUUUUUAAUGCACUUUUCGUUUAACAAGUCAACAUCAUGUUUCUUUUGUUGUAAAAAGGUCAUUGGAAGGUGGCUUUCUUUUCGGAGAAAGUGUUUAUAGCCUUUGACUCCUGCAAUCGGAGAGACUGAGGUCUGCAGCGUAGAUCCUUCGGGGUUAGAUACAUUUGUGCUAAGUUAUAGCUUUUUAUAGACAACUUGUUGACUAUGAUUAGUCUUGUAGCUUACUCGCUUAUGCUAUUUUACCUACGCUUAGGAUGUUGACGCGCGUGUGUGCGUG
rnacentral:rRNA from 1 species